GGGUUGUGAGGUUAAGCGACUAAGCGUACACGGUGGAUGCCCUGGCAGUCAGAGGCGAUGAAGGACGUGCUAAUCUGCGAAAAGCGUCGGUAAGGUGAUAUGAACCGUUAUAACCGGCGAUGUCCGAAUGGGGAAACCCAGUGUGAUUCGUCACACUAUCGUUAACUGAAUACAUAGGUUAACGAGGCGAACCGGGGGAACUGAAACAUCUAAGUACCCCGAGGAAAAGAAAUCAACCGAGAUUCCCCCAGUAGCGGCGAGCGAACGGGGAGCAGCCCAGAGUCUGAAUCAGCUUGUGUGUUAGUGGAACGGUCUGGAAAGUCCGACGGUACAGGGUGAUAGUCCCGUACACCAAAAUGCACAGGCUGUGAACUCGAAGAGUAGGGCGGGACACGUGGUAUCCUGUCUGAAUAUGGGGGGACCAUCCUCCAAGGCUAAAUACUCCUGACUGACCGAUAGUGAACCAGUACCGUGAGGGAAAGGCGAAAAGAACCCCGGCGAGGGGAGUGAAAAAGAACCUGAAACCGUGUACGUACAAGCAGUGGGAGCACCUUCGGGUGUGACUGCGUACCUUUUGUAUAAUGGGUCAGCGACUUAUAUUCUGUAGCAAGGUUAACCGUAUAGGGGAGCCGCAGGGAAACCGAGUCUUAACUGGGCGUUAAGUUGCAGGGUAUAGACCCGAAACCCGGUGAUCUAGCCAUGGGCAGGUUGAAGGUUGGGUAACACUAACUGGAGGACCGAACCGACUAAUGUUGAAAAAUUAGCGGAUGACUUGUGGCUGGGGGUGAAAGGCCAAUCAAACCGGGAGAUAGCUGGUUCUCCCCGAAAGCUAUUUAGGUAGCGCCUCGUGAAUUCAUCUUCGGGGGUAGAGCACUGUUUCGGCUAGGGGGUCAUCCCGACUUACCAACCCGAUGCAAACUACGAAUACCGAAGAAUGUUAUCACGGGAGACACACGGCGGGUGCUAACGUCCGUCGUGAAGAGGGAAACAACCCAGACCGCCAGCUAAGGUCCCAAAGUCAUGGUUAAGUGGGAAACGAUGUGGGAAGGCACAGACAGCCAGGAUGUUGGCUUAGAAGCAGCCAUCAUUUAAAGAAAGCGUAAUAGCUCACUGGUCGAGUCGGCCUGCGCGGAAGAUGUAACGGGGCUAAACCAUGCACCGAAGCUGCGGCAGCGACACUAUGUGUUGUUGGGUAGGGGAGCGUUCUGUAAGCCUGCGAAGGUGUGCUGUGAGGCAUGCUGGAGGUAUCAGAAGUGCGAAUGCUGACAUAAGUAACGAUAAAGCGGGUGAAAAGCCCGCUCGCCGGAAGACCAAGGGUUCCUGUCCAACGUUAAUCGGGGCAGGGUGAGUCGACCCCUAAGGCGAGGCCGAAAGGCGUAGUCGAUGGGAAACAGGUUAAUAUUCCUGUACUUGGUGUUACUGCGAAGGGGGGACGGAGAAGGCUAUGUUAGCCGGGCGACGGUUGUCCCGGUUUAAGCAUGUAGGCUGGUUGUCCAGGCAAAUCCGGAUAAUCAAGGCUGAGGUGUGAUGACGAGGCACUACGGUGCUGAAGUAACAAAUGCCCUGCUUCCAGGAAAAGCCUCUAAGCAUCAGGUAACAUCAAAUCGUACCCCAAACCGACACAGGUGGUCAGGUAGAGAAUACCAAGGCGCUUGAGAGAACUCGGGUGAAGGAACUAGGCAAAAUGGUGCCGUAACUUCGGGAGAAGGCACGCUGGUGUGUAGGUGAAGCCCCUGCGGGUGGAGCUGAGACCAGUCGAAGAUACCAGCUGGCUGCAACUGUUUAUUAAAAACACAGCACUGUGCAAACACGAAAGUGGACGUAUACGGUGUGACGCCUGCCCGGUGCCGGAAGGUUAAUUGAUGGGGUUAUCCGUAAGGAGAAGCUCUUGAUCGAAGCCCCGGUAAACGGCGGCCGUAACUAUAACGGUCCUAAGGUAGCGAAAUUCCUUGUCGGGUAAGUUCCGACCUGCACGAAUGGCGUAAUGAUGGCCAGGCUGUCUCCACCCGAGACUCAGUGAAAUUGAACUCGCUGUGAAGAUGCAGUGUACCCGCGGCAAGACGGAAAGACCCCGUGAACCUUUACUAUAGCUUGACACUGAACAUUGAGCCUUGAUGUGUAGGAUAGGUGGGAGGCUUUGAAGCGUGGACGCCAGUCUGCGUGGAGCCAACCUUGAAAUACCACCCUUUAAUGUUUGAUGUUCUAACGUUGGCCCCUUAUCGGGGUUGCGGACAGUGUCUGGUGGGUAGUUUGACUGGGGCGGUCUCCUCCCAAAGCGUAACGGAGGAGCACGAAGGUUAGCUAAUCCUGGUCGGACAUCAGGAGGUUAGUGCAAUGGCAUAAGCUAGCUUGACUGCGAGCGUGACGGCGCGAGCAGGUGCGAAAGCAGGUCAUAGUGAUCCGGUGGUUCUGAAUGGAAGGGCCAUCGCUCAACGGAUAAAAGGUACUCCGGGGAUAACAGGCUGAUACCGCCCAAGAGUUCAUAUCGACGGCGGUGUUUGGCACCUCGAUGUCGGCUCAUCACAUCCUGGGGCUGAAGUAGGUCCCAAGGGUAUGGCUGUUCGCCAUUUAAAGUGGUACGCGAGCUGGGUUUAGAACGUCGUGAGACAGUUCGGUCCCUAUCUGCCGUGGGCGCUGGAGAAUUGAGGGGGGCUGCUCCUAGUACGAGAGGACCGGAGUGGACGCAUCACUGGUGUUCGGGUUGUCAUGCCAAUGGCACUGCCCGGUAGCUAAAUGCGGAAGAGAUAAGUGCUGAAAGCAUCUAAGCACGAAACUUGCCCCGAGAUGAGUUCUCCCUGAGACUUUAAGUCUCCUGAAGGAACGUUGAAGACGACGACGUUGAUAGGCCGGGUGUGUAAGCGCAGCGAUGCGUUGAGCUAACCGGUACUAAUGAACCGUGAGGCUUAACCUUACAACGCCGAAG
rnacentral:rRNA from 1 species